GAGGUGCAGUGCGGGUGCUUACCAUGCAGUCGAACGAUGAUGCCCAGCUUGCUGGGUGGAUUAGUGGCGAACGGGUGAGUAAUACGUGAGUAACCUGCCCUUGACUCUGGGAUAAGCCUGGGAAACUGGGUCUAAUACUGGAUACUACUUCCUGCCGCAGGGUGGGUGGUGGAAAGGGUUUUACUGGUUUUGGAUGGGCUCCCGGCCUAUCAGCUUGUUGGUGGGGUAAUGGCUCACCAAGGCAACCACGGGUAGCCGGCCUGACAGGGUGACCGGCCACACUGGGACUGACACACGGCCCACACUCCUACGGGAGGCAGCAGUGGGGAAUAUUGCACAAUGGGCGGAACCCUGAUGCAGCGACGCCGCGUGAGGGAUGACGGCCUUCGGGUUGUAAACCUCUUUCAAUACGGAAGAAGCGAGAGUGACGGUACCUGCAUAACAAGCGCCUGCUAACUACGUGCCAGCAGCCGCGGUAAUACGUAGGGCGCAAGCGUUGUCCGGAAUUAUUGGGCGUAAAGAGCUCGUAGGCGGUUUGUCGCGUCUGCUGUGAAAGCCCGGGGCUCAACCCCGGGUCUGCAGUGGGUACAGGCAGACUAAAGUGCAUUAAGGGACACUGGAAUUCCUGGUGUAGCGGUGAAAUGCGCAGAUUUCACGAGGAACACCGAUUGCGAACGCAAGUCUCUGGGCUGUUACAGACACUGAGGAACGAAAGCCUGAGGAGCCAACAUGAUUAGAUACCCUGGUAGUCCAUGCCGCAAACGUUGGGCACUAGGUGUGCGGGACAUUCCACGUUCUCCGCGCCAUAGCUGACGCAUUAGGUGCACCGCCGGGGCAGUACGGGCGCAAG
rnacentral:rRNA from 1 species